rnacentral:rRNA from 1 species
UAUACCUACGGGGCGCAGCAGUGAGGAAUAUUGGUCAAUGGGCGAGAGCCUGAACCAGCCAAGUCGCGUGAGGGAAGACGGCCCUACGGGUUGUAAACCUCUUUUGUCAGGGAGCAAGAACGGAUACGUGUAUCCGAGCGAGAGUACCUGAAGAAAAAGCAUCGGCUAACUCCGUGCCAGCAGCCGCGGUAAUACGGAGGAUGCGAGCGUUAUCCGGAUUUAUUGGGUUUAAAGGGUGCGGAGGCGGGCUGCCAAGUCAGCGGUAAAAUGGCGGGGCUCAACCCCGUCGAGCCGUUGACACUGGG